AUGCCGACACUAUUUAGUAUAACGUCUAAGGUUAAAAUAACGUAAUAAUAUCUUGUAGAUACGGUCGUGCACAGAGCUAACCUGACAUUAUGGAAGAAUGUUUAGGUUAGACUGUUCUACCAAUCUGGGGAGGUCUUCGUUUGAUCGUAGAUAGAGUCAUAAGCUGCCUGCACUCUAGAUAGGAAAUGAUGACAGGUUGGGACCUUUCCGCAUGUGUAAAGAAAAUGAGGUUCGAGAACCAUAGAUGUAUUAAAUGCACCUUGCAUAUCUGCCUACCUUUAUAAGAAAAAAGGGCUAAGCCUAUACAUGGUGGGAUACCACUGAUAAAUCAUUCCGUAAAUCUUAAACUAGUGCGACGCAGUAAUAGAAGUGUCCGCCCUGGUGGUUCCUGAAACUUAUGUAUGUAAUGAAAAAACUGUUAUCUUCUUUGGUUUCUCGGAAAGUUGUUUUCCUUGGGUGGAAAUUCAAUUUGUUUCAUUAAAAAAUAUUAUAUCAGUGUAAUUUAAUUAAAAGUUUUAUUAUGUAAGUUAUUUGCCAAAAAAUAGAGGAUAAGAUUCUCCUCUACUUUUUGCUUGUUUUUAGAAAUUGAUUAAAUAAUUUAUUCAUUGCUAACAGUUUUUCUUUAUAGACAAUACAUACUAUACUUUCAUGAGCACAUCAAUCUCUUUGUACAUCAGCCUUCUCUUGGAGUCAACUUGGGCAAGACACCCUAUACUGUAUUAAGUAGGUACUAGCUUUGGCUUGCGGCUUCGCUCGUGUUUGUUUUUUUCUAUCCCGCUUUAUACACCACCGCACCACCACGUGUUGAACAUAAGAUGUUGUUAUGUUUUGUCACUUCGUAUUAUGUUCUGUCUGUUUUAAAUUCUUUCCAAAAAAAAUAUUGUAUCAAAUUACUGUAACUUUAAUAAAUUCUUAUAUGUCUAAAUCAUAUUAAUAACAAAUAUUAAUUUGUUGCCGCUGUACCAAUAUAUAAAUUUGCAUGCUGUGGUCUUCUAUAAUUGAAGAAGCACGUCACACUGUUAAUUGUACCUAAAAAUGCUACAACAUUGUUUUUAUUAUAUUUCGUGUAUGAAUCGUUGGAGGUCCUUAAAUAAAUAAAUAAAUAUUUUCACGGGAUAAAAAUAAUGUAGCUUCCUAUUAGUGAAAGAAUUUUGAAAAUCGGUUUAAUAGUUCUAGAGAUUAGCCUCUACAAACUUACAAACAAAUUCAUAAACCUCUUUAUAAUAUUAGUAUGUAGAUUUUCUUCUCUAAGUAACUUACCUUAAGCAUAAAAAUACCACUAGCGUGAUCCCUAAAGGUAGGUAUCUCGUGGCUAAUGCUAUCCACCCCAUGGCUAUUACUUCAACAUCGCUAUACCUGGCGCCGGAACCGAGAUACCUUUCUACCAGUGGCGAAGUGUCCAUACAACCCGACACCUACUGCCUUCCCUUCGCCAUUAUUAAAUUUAUUUACCUUUGUCUAGGUUUAUGUUAUCUGUUAAAUUGGCUGCGAUAGUUAACUAAGGCAUUUUUUUACCUCGGGUUACCUUUACGAAAAAUUUCGCCCUUCGCCGCUGUUUUCUAGAGUCGUUUGUUCAUUACAUGACAUUUAAUUUAGAGUGUUAUAGUUUUGCAUUUAUCAAUUUUAGAAAUGAUAUGCAUCAUGCUAUAUAGCAGUCUAUGUAAAGUUCCUGUUGUUUUAGAAUUGUUUAGUAUAUUACAAAUACAAUAUGAUAACAAGAAACAAUCUUACCGUGCUGAUGGGCACUAAGAGAAGGUUGUAUUACCACAUUAAUUCAUUAAAAAUGUACUAAUUUAGAUUUAAUUAAUUAAAAUAAUGUGCUCGAAUCUCCUACAGAUGUUUUUCACCAUUUGCCGUAAUUUCAGAUAUCAGAAUAUCAGUGGCGGGGAGGGUCCGUAUAACUUCCUGUCGGCUUCUCUUUCGUAAUUAAUAUAAAAUCUAAUUACCAUUAGGACGAAUUACAGACCGCAUUCAUUCAUGUUAUAUAAUACAACAAUAUUUGAUGCGCUAAAAUUCGUUGUAGACAAA